rnacentral:ribozyme from 13 species
AGUAAGCUCAAAUUAAAUGCCUCUACACAAGUAUAGAGGUGAAAGAGAGAGAGAGAGAAAAAAAAAUGAAAAACCAAAAAAAAUAAAAAUAAUCAACAUAGUUAUUUAGUUAUAUGAUGGUUACACAUUCAAUGCCUUUUU